UAUGAAUGCAACAAAGUUUUCCCUUAGAUUCUCUGAGGACUUCUCUGGAUCAUGGCUUAUCAGCUUUUUUGCAGUGAGGUCAAAUAUCAUCUGGAAGCAUCUUCUUGAGACCUUCAUGGCCAAAGAGAGUCAAGACCAUGUUUUUGAGGUACUUGUACAUGAAGCCGUGCAACGAACCCACAUUCUGCCUUCCAAAUAUCUCGGUAAAGGACGGGAUAUCUGAGGUGGUAUUAGGCUUGAAGAACUGGAUGGUCUCCCCAAGAAGUGGAAACCCCAUAGAACCAGGCGGGAGAUCUCCUCUGCAUUUGGGGUUCCUCCAUCUGUAAACCCAAUAUGUGAUGCUUACCAGAAGCAGAGAUGCCCAAAUGCAAAAUGCCCACAUCACUGAAUAAGGGGAUUGUUUUUGUUUUGAUGAAUUCGUGCAACUCUUUCCUUUUUCCUGGUUUCUUGUUUGUGUAGACUUGACAGAAGCGGAAGCUAAGGAAGAGGGGGAGAAUAAAGCCGGUAAACAAGCAGAGGGAAAGAGACAGAGAAGAGGAAGCAAGUGCUGGCGUAUCUCAUCAACCAUAUGAUGAGGUCCUUAAAUAGGCAGGCAAGUCUUACACAUCCUUGUUUAUAUGAUAAUAAUAAUAAUAAUAAUAAUUAAUAAUGUCUUCGAAAGUAGUUGCUGAUUGGAAUAUAGAUUUUAUUAUUAGAAAAAUCAAACCUGUUUAUAGAAUUAGAAGAAACCAUUCAUCUAUCAGUCCCAAAGGGCAUUUUUUUAAAGGGAAAGAUUUAAACUCAGGCUUAGGAGCAUGAGAUGAAGGUUACGCGAUGCUUCCUCUUUUUCUUGUUUAUUGUGUUCUCAUUACAUUAAAACCAUAACUGAACAUAAACGCAAGUUUCCAGCCUCAUUUUAUGAGCUUUUUGGUGACGCGUAGGGCUCGUGGUCACUUAAUUUUAUUUAUAAAAAAAAUUUCUAUUGAAGUUGAAACUCUGGAUUUUUUUUCAUUAAAAACAAAAAGGUUUAUAGUUUUUUUUUUUUACAUUAUUGACUUGGUAAUUGUUUUCUCUUCCCAUAUCUAUGCUAAAUAUUCCAUGAUCUUAUGUAAUCUUUGAGUCUUUUGACACAAUGAGCAAACAACUAACAAGUUGCUUCAUAUCUCUUGGUUCUUUACAACUAUUUUAAUUUAGUUUGUUCAUAUUCAUGCCCAGAAUCUCUUGGUUAGAUCUGGCUGUUCGGUGUUUUUAUCAUUAUCUUCAUAUACUUUAAAUCCCCACCCAUCAAAACCCAACAAUCUAAUUGCAUUCAUUAGACUGUUUCUGCUAACCACUGUAUCUUCAUGCUGCUCUCUCUUCACAAACAUAUAUAUAUAUUGCUUAGGUAUAUAUAUUGCUUAGGUAAAUGAAAUCGGCUUGGGGACCCAUCUGGUUUACCAAUGCCUAAACAAGGGAAGAAUUGCCAUUGAGCCACGAACUGGGGUCGGAAUUUAUGCAUCAAACCAUGGCAUUCUACUGACCACCAACCCAUCCCAUAACUAGUUCACCGAACCUUUGUUUCGACUACAUCUUCUAGACGGAGAAAUCCAGGUGUCGAAGCUACACGAGACUUCGAGAUAAUUAUGGAGAAAGCCUGUUCCUCUUGUCUGUGCCGUACGCACUCGGGAACAGAGAGGAGAAAAAAAAAUAGGGUUGAAGACAGAAGUUGGUCUUGAGGUGUCUGACUGUCCCCAAAGGAUUUGACCUUUGGCGUAAAGUAAAAACUGCAUGUCGUCGUGGGGAGCCACAAAGAGUUUAAAGAACUUCCUUUGCCACGUUCACACAUUUUUUUUAUAUUAUUCUAUACGUUUACUAUUGAAAUUUUAACGACGAUAAAAUUCGGUUUAAGUAUUUAAAAAAAAAA